rnacentral:rRNA from 1 species
GUGAACGCUGGCGGUAGGCCUAACACAUGCAAGUCGAACGGCAGCACAGUAAGAGCUUGCUCUUACGGGUGGCGAGUGGCGGACGGGUGAGGAAUACAUCGGAAUCUACUUUUUCGUGGGGGAUAACGUAGGGAAACUUACGCUAAUACCGCAUACGACCUACGGGUGAAAGCAUGGGAUCUUCGGACCUUGCGCGAUUGAAUGAGCCGAUGUCGGAUUAGCUAGUUGGCGGGGUAAAGGCCCACCAAGGCGACGAUCCGUAGCUGGUCUGAGAGGAUGAUCAGCCACACUGGAACUGAGACACGGUCCAGACUACUACGGGAGGCAGCAGUGGGGAAUAUUGGACAAUGGGCGCAAGCCUGUUCCAGCCAUACCGCGUGGGUGAAGAAGGCCUUCGGGUUGUAAAGCCCUUUUGUUGGGAAAGAAAAGCAGCAGGUUAAUACCCCGCUGUUCUGACGGUACCCAAAGAAUAAGCACCGGCUAACUUCGUG